rnacentral:rRNA from 1 species
CCUACGGGAGGCAGCAGUGAGGAAUAUUGGUCAAUGGGCGCGAGCCUGAACCAGCCAAGUAGCGUGAAGGAUGACUGCCCUACGGGUUGUAAACUUCUUUUAUAAAGGAAUAAAGUGAGGCACGUGUGCCUUUUUGUAUGUACUUUGUGAAUAAGGAUCGGCUAACUCCGUGCCAGCAGCCGCGGUAAUACGGAGGAUCCGAGCGUUAUCCGGAUUUCUUGGGUUUAAAGGGUGCGUAGAUGGGUUGUUAAGUCAGUUGUGAAAGUUUGCGGCUCAACCGUACAAGUGCAGUUGAUACUGGCAGCCUUGAGUACAGUUGAGGUAGGCGGAAUGCGUGGUGUAGCGGUGAAAUGCUUAGAUAUCACGAAGAACUCCGAUUGCGAAGGCAGCUUACUAACCUGCCACUGACAUUGAUGCACGAAAGUGUGGGUAUCAAACAGGAUUAGAUACCCCUGUAGUC